AUACUUCCCGACACUAUGACAUGCUGUACCUUCAUUCCAGAUAAUACAGGCCCCAAUGGUAAAGUAACCAUGGCCAUAGAGAAAUUAGAAAGUCUCUCUGCCGAAUUAAAGAAGAACUCAGGGAUCUCCAAUUCAUGGGACAAAUGGUUGGGAUGGAUGAGUGGAUGGCAGAGAGUUCUCUUUCAAGUAAGUAUGGCAGUUCUUACAGUAGUUGUUCUCCUCCUCUUCCUGGUUUGCUGCGUUAUGCCCUGGGUGCAAAGGUAUUUACAAAAGACUGUAGAUCAGACCAUUGACCGCACCACACCUACAUCAAGAUAUUGACGAUAUAGACUGUGACACACCGCACACACCUCUUCAGUCCCACCACCUCAAAAGGACAACUACUUCCUUAUAGGGAUAGCAUAGGGACAGCAUCUGUCUCCAC